rnacentral:rRNA from 1 species
AAUAGAUACCCCGGUAGUCCACCCCGUAAACGUUGGGAACUAGUUGUGGGGUCCUUUCCACGGAUUCCGUGACGCAGCUAACGCAUUAAGUUCCCCGCCUGGGGAGUACGGCCGCAAGGCUAAAACUCAAAGGAAUUGACGGGGACCCGCACAAGCGGCGGAGCAUGCGGAUUAAUUCGAUGCAACGCGAAGAACCUUACCAAGGCUUGACAUACACCAGAACACCCUAGAAAUAGGGGACUCUUUGGACACUGGUGAACAGGUGGUGCAUGGUUGUCGUCAGCUCGUGUCGUGAGAUGUUGGGUUAAGUCCCGCAACGAGCGCAACCCUCGUUCUAUGUUGCCAGCACGUAAUGGUGGGAACUCAUGGGAUACUGCCGGGGUCAACUCGGAGGAAGGUGGGGAUGACGUCAAAUCAUCAUGCCCCUUAUGUCUUGGGCUUCACGCAUGCUACAAUGGCCGGUACAAAGGGCUGCAAUACCGUGAGGUGGAGCGAAUCCCAAAAGCCGGUCCAGUUCGGAUUGAGGUCUGCAACUCGACUCA